rnacentral:miRNA from 1 species
UGUGCUGUAUAUGCACUUCU